UACGGGGGGAGCAAGCGUUGUUCGGAUUUACUGGGCGUAAAGGGCGCGUAGGCGGUCAGCACAAGUCAGUUGUGAAAUCUCCGGGCUUAACUCGGAAAGGUCAACUGAUACUGUGCGACUAGAGUGCAGAAGGGUCAACUGGAAUUCUUGGUGUAGCGGUGAAAUGCGUAGAUAUCAAGAGGAACACCUGCGGCGAAGGCGGGUUGCUGGGCUGACACUGACGCUGAAGCGCGAAAGCCAGGGGAGCGAACGGG
rnacentral:rRNA from 1 species